AUGUGUCUGGGCGCGUUCGGGUGUCCCCAUAUCCGUCCCGGCAGCAGUGUGCCCGUCUCCCCGCACAUUUGGCAGACCUCGGCCUUGACUUACGGACAUAGCAUUAAACAUGCGGUCUAUACGGACAGACGCGAGCAGGAUGGGGUCGUGCGUUGGAGUUGGCCUCAUCCAUUAUCUCUGUCCAUUUUACACUUUUCUCAUAAUCAGUGUCUGCUUAUUAUGUUUAUAUCUACUCCUUUCGGAAACAUACAUGUAAGUAAAAAAAUAUGUGCUUAUAUCCAGUUUCAAAUUUUAUAUUGUAUAGUAACUACAUUGUUCGUUUUUGAUUUGGAGGUUUCCUAA
rnacentral:rRNA from 1 species